rnacentral:rRNA from 1 species
AGAGUUUGAUCCUGGCUCAGAACGAACGCUGGUAGCGUGGAUUAGGCAUGCAAGUCGAACGGGAUCAGCCGGUUAGCAAUAAUUGGCUGUGAGAGUGGCGGAUUGGGGAGGAACACGUGAACAACCUGCCCGAGAGUUCGGGAAAACCGUUGGAAACGACGGCUAAUAUCCGAUGCGGCGCCCUGUGACAUCACAGGAACGCUAAAGGGGGCCGCAAGGCUCCCGCUCGUGGAGGGGUUCGCGCACCAUCAGCUUGUUGGCGGGGUAACGGCCCACCAAGGCGACGAUCCAUAGGGGUUCUGAGAGGAAGGUCCCCCACAUUGGUACUGAGACACGGACCAAACUCCUACGGGAGGCAGCAGUGAGGAAUAUUGGUCAAUGGGCGGAAGCCUGAACCAGCCAAGUCGCGUGAAGGAAGAAGGUAUUAUGUAUUGUAAACUUCUUUAGACGUAGAGAAAUAAGGGGAUCGUGAUCCCUGAUGCUAGUAUACGUAGAAUAAGGAUCGGCUAACUCCGUGCCAGCAGCCGCGGUAAUACGGAGGAUCCGAGCGUUAUCCGGAUUUAUUGGGUUUAAAGGGUGCGCAGGCGGCUUUCUAAGUCAGUGGUUAAAUAGCGGUGCUCAACGCCGUCCCGCCAUUGAUACUGGAGAGCUUGAUUGCGGUCGAGGUUUGCGGAAUUCGUCGUGUAGCGGUGAAAUGCAUAGAUAUGACGAAGAACACCGAUUGCGUAGGCAGCAGACCAGGCCGUAAAUGACGCUCAUGCACGAAAGUGCGGGGAUCGAACAGGAUUAGAUACCCUGGUAGUCCGCACAGUAAACUAUGAAUACUUGCUUUUGGCGAUAUUACAGUCAGAGGCAAAGCGAAAGCGAUAAGUAUUCCACCUGGGGAGUACGCCGGCAACGGUGAAACUCAAAGGAAUUGACGGGGGGCCCGCACAAGCGGAGGAACAUGUGGUUUAAUUCGAUGCUACGCGAGGAACCUUACCCGGGCUUGAAAGUUACCGACGGACCAGGAAACUGGUCUUCUCUUCGGAGCGGGAAACUAGGUGCUGCAUGGUUGUCGUCAGCUCGUGCCGUGAGGUGUCGGCUUAAGUGCCAUAACGAGCGCAACCCUUUUCCGUAGUUACCAUCAUUCAGUUGGGGACUCUGCGGACACUGCCAUCGUAAGAUGCGAGGAAGGAUGGGAUGACGUCAAAUCAGCACGGCCCUUACGUCCGGGGCGACACACGUGUUACAAUGGACAGGACAGAAAGGAUCGAAGCGGCGACGCUGAGGGAAUCUCGAAACCUGUUCCCAGUUCGGAUCGGAGUCUGCAACCCGACUCCGUGAAGCCGGAUUCGCUAGUAAUCGCGCAUCAGCCAUGGCGCGGUGAAUACGUUCCCGGGCCUUGCACACACCGCCGGUCAAG